rnacentral:rRNA from 1 species
UGGGGAAUAUUGGACAAUGGGGGAAACCCUGAUCCAGCGACGCCGCGUGUGUGAAGAAGGCCUGCGGGUUGUAAAGCACUUUUAGUGGGGAUGAAAUGUGCAGGGCUAACACCUCUGCAUUUUGACCUAACCCACAGAAAAAGCACCGGCUAACUCUGUGCCAGCAGCCGCGGUAAUACAGAGGGUGCAAGCGUUAAUCGGAGUUACUGGGCGUAAAGCGCGCGUAGGCGGUCUGAUAAGCCGGUUGUGAAAGCCCCGGGCUCAACCUGGGAACGGCAUCCGGAACUGUCAGGCUAGAGUGCAGGAGAGGAAGGUAGAAUUCCCGGUGUAGCGGUGAAAUGCGUAGAGAUCGGGAGGAAUACCAGUGGCGAAGGCGGCCUUCUGGACUGACACUGACGCUGAGGUGCGAAAGCGUGGGUAGCAAACA